rnacentral:lncRNA from 1 species
AUGAUGAUGAUUUCGAGGAUGAGGUGUUGAAAAAGAAGAAAAACAAGGUUACUGGUGUCAGCCCUUCCCACCUCCACACAUUACCUUGAAUGAUGUCCAGACUGAAGUUGUGAGACAGGUUGAGUUUGACCAUUUAUUGCAUUUACAGAUAAAUGAGCUGGCUACCAAACUAGUUUAUUGGGUUAUGGACAAUUUUGACAAUCGUGGUCUUAAGAUUGCAUUACCGAAUGAAAGACAUAUUCAAGUAUGCAAAGAGGAUGUGCAGCGUGUGCUUGGAUUCUCAAGAGGUCCAAAGGUAAUAGAAACUAUCGAUGUCAAGAAGAGGAAUAAUCUGAAAGCCGAAUGGGUUCCAUACUAUCCAAAUUAGAAUAAGGGACAGAUCACAGUUGGGGAAGUGGUAGAGGUUGUAAAAUCGCGUGUGGAUGGCAGAGAUUGGUUCAAGCGACAUUUGUUGAUAUUAGUUGCAUACACGUCGAUUGAGUACAGAGCACAUGGUUAUGGUUGUUCCUUUUAUAAUCAAGUCCCUAGAUGAUCUUACAAGUGUGCGGUAGUGGAAUUGGUGUGACUAUGUCAUCCGAUGUCUUGUUGAUAGACGUGGAAAGUGGGAGGACAACAAUAAACAAAUGUUUAUUGGCCUCGUCUUAUUUUCAAUG